rnacentral:rRNA from 1 species
UACGUAGGGGGCAAGCGUUGUCCGGAUUUAUUGGGCGUAAAGCGCUCGCAGGUGGUUCGUUGCGUCGUGCGUGAAAGACCCCGGCUCAACUGGGGGAUGUCGUGCGAUACGGGCAGACUGGAGUACUGCAGGGGAGACUGGAAUUCCUGGUGUAGCGGUGGAAUGCGCAGAUAUCAGGAGGAACACCGGUGGCGAAGGCGGGUCUCUGGGCAGUAACUGACGCUGGAGGAGCGAAAGCCGUGGGGAGCGAACAGG